UCCUCACAUUUCACACACGCCAGCCGAACAUCAUCAUUCAAACUAAUUUUCACUUUUUAAUUGACAAAUCUUCAAACAACUUUCGAAACUGUGAGAUGUUUCGCUUUCUCACCAUAUCACUUGUUUUCGCUGGGG
ensembl:ncRNA F26A10.18 ncRNA